CACACAAAGGAUAGGACUUUAAAUCUAGUGCACAGACACCACUGCUACAGGAUUAAGGACUGGAGGGAAAAGACACUUUCCAAGUACCCAAGUUGGGAAAGAGAUCACAGAAGAGAUCAGGGGCAAGUGCUGUGACUCAUUUCUGGAUUAAAAGAUACUGUGUUGCUGUGAGAGAAGCCUGGGUAAAGUUUGAUGAAAGAUCACUUCAAUUGUACUUCCACUGCCUGAGGACUUGGCAGAAGGUUUCAGGAAUGGAUUCUCGAGACAUCAGAGACUAGUCCAUUGGCACUGUAUGAAUCCAGGAUACCAGGAAGACGGCACGGAGAUCCAGUUCAGAGGAUGUAGGACCCAGUAGCGUCUAAGAAGGAAGUCUGAACUGGGAUUUGAAACAGGGCCUUUCUAUGCUUGAGAUGAACAGUAAA